UACGUAGGGUGCGAGCGUUAAUCGGAAUUACUGGGCGUAAAGCGUGCGCAGGCGGCGCGUUAAGACAGGUGUGAAAGCCCCGAGCUUAACUUGGGAAUUGCGCUUGUGACUGGCGUGCUGGAGUGUGGCAGAGGGAGGUGGAAUUCCACGUGUAGCAGUGAAAUGCGCAGAUAUCAGGAGGAACACCUAUGGCGAAGGCAGCUUGCUGGGACGACACUGACGCUGAGACGCGAAAGCGUGGGGAGCAAACAGG
rnacentral:rRNA from 1 species